CUUCCGUAGGGGUAACCUGCGGAAGGAUCAUUACCUAGAGUUUGUAGACUUCGGUCUGCUACCUCUUACCCAUGUCUUUUGAGUACCUUCGUUUCCUCGGCGGGUCCGCCCGCCGAUUGGACAACAUUCAAACCCUUUGCAGUUGCAAUCAGCGUCUGAAAAAACAUAAUAGUUACAACUUUCAACAACGGAUCUCUUGGUUCUGGCAUCGAUGAAGAACGCAGCGAAAUGCGAUAAGUAGUGUGAAUUGCAGAAUUCAGUGAAUCAUCGAAUCUUUGAACGCACAUUGCGCCCCUUGGUAUUCCAUGGGGCAUGCCUGUUCGAGCGUCAUUUGUACCUUCAAGCUCUGCUUGGUGUUGGGUGUUUUGUCUCGCCUCUGCGUGUAGACUCGCCUUAAAACAAUUGGCAGCCGGCGUAUUGAUUUCGGAGCGCAGUACAUCUCGCGCUUUGCACUCAUAACGGCGACGUCCAAAAGUACAUUUUUACACUCUUGACCUCGGAUCAGGUAGGGAUACCCGCUGAACUUAAGCAUAUCAAAGGCCGGAGGAA
rnacentral:rRNA from 1 species